UACGAAGGGGGCUAGCGUUGUUCGGAAUUACUGGGCGUAAAGCGCACGUAGGCGGAUUCUUAAGUCUGGGGUGAAAGCCCGGAGCUCAACUCCGGAACUGCCUUGGAUACUGGGAGUCUCGAGGAUGGAAGAGGUCAGUGGAAUGCCGAGUGUAGAGGUGAAAUUCGUAGAUAUUCGGCGGAACACCAGUGGCGAAGGCGACUGGCUGGUCCAUUUCUGACGCUGAGGUGCGAAAGUGUGGGGAGCAAACAGG
rnacentral:rRNA from 1 species